GACGAACGCUGGCGGCGUGCUUAACACAUGCAAGUCGAACGGUGAAGCGCCUUCCUUGUUGGUGGGUGUGGAUGAGUGGCGAACGGGUGAGUAACACGUGAGUAACCUUCCCCCUUCUUCUGGAUAACCGCAUGAAAGUGUGGCUAAUACGGGAUAUUCUGGGUCUUUCGCAUGAUGGGUCUGGGAAAGCUAUUGUUUCGGUGGGGGAGGGGCUCGCGGCCUGUCGGCUUGUUGGUGGGGUGAUGGGCUACCAAGGCUGGGAGGGGUGGCCGGCCUGGGAGGGUGGACGGCCUGAGUGGGAGUGCGACACCGUCGAGACUGAUACGGGGGGCAGCCGCGGAGGGUAGUGCGCAGUGGGGAAUAGUGUGCUGCGGCGGCGCGGCGGAUGCGAUGGAGGCCUUCGGGUUAUGAACCCCUUUCGGCAGUGAAGCAGGCCUGCCUGGGUUGUAGGGGGGUUGACGGUAACUGGAUAAGAAGCGCCGGCUAACUACGUG
rnacentral:rRNA from 1 species